AAUGGAAUCCGGUAACCCCCUUCUGUCUACCAGAGGCCUCUCCCUCUGAUCCAGAAUGUUUUCACUUCCCACCCACCGCUUUGCCCAGCUCCUCACUGUCCUUGGACUUCCCUGGAGAAUGUAGAACUGAUGUGCACUGUUGGCUCCUGUUGUGCUGCACAGGCCUCCGGUAUUACAAAUGGAACUCAAGAGCAUAUUCCACUCAUCUCUGCUAGUGGAUUACCUCUGAACGUUGUCUGCACUGGGCUGAGGAUGCUCACUACUUAAGUUCAAGGUUCUUACUGAUGUCACUGGAAAAUUUGUCUCUGCUCUGAGAAAUCACAGGGAUUAGUCUUUGUGACUCGUGAGGUGACUACACUAACACCUGGUGUUGAUAAGAUGGCAUGAAAACAGCCAGCUCUGGAAGUCGGGCUGGAGCCAUGGCUCAGAAGUGAGUAGUGCUUGCUGCUCUUCCGGAGGACCCGAGCUGGGUUACCAGCACCCAUGUUCUGCAGAUCACAGUCUUUGCUAACUCCAGAUCCAGGGCUUCUAACCCCCUCUUCCGGCCUCCAUGUACCGUACCUUUACUCAUGUGCCUGACAUCCUCCCACACAUACUUAAUGAAAAAUAAGAAUUCAAUCUUUAAUAAUAAGAAGAAAAGAGUCCC
rnacentral:lncRNA from 1 species